GAUGAACGCUGGCGGUAUGCUUAACACAUGCAAGUCGAACGGACUCUUCGGAGUUAGUGGCGGACGGGUGAGUAACGCGUGAGAAUCUGCCUUCAGGUCGGGGAUAACAGUUGGAAACGACUGCUAAUACCGGAUGUGCAGCAAUGUGAAAGAUUUAUUGCCUGAAGAUGAGCUCGCGUCUGAUUAGCUAGUAGGUGUGGUAAUGGCGCACCUAGGCGACGAUCAGUAACUGGUCUGAGAGGAUGACCAGUCACACUGGGACUGAGACACGGCCCAGACUCCUACGGGAGGCAGCAGUGGGGAAUUUUCCGCAAUGGGCGAAAGCCUGACGGAGCAAUACCGCGUGAGGGGACGACGGCUUCUGGGGUUUGUAAACCCUCUUUUUCUCUGGGGAAGAAGAUCUGACGGUACCAGAGGAAUCAGCAUCGGCUAACUUCGUGCCAGCAGCCGCGGUAAU
rnacentral:rRNA from 1 species